rnacentral:rRNA from 1 species
UACGUAGGGGGCAAGCGUUGUCCGGAAUCAUUGGGCGUAAAGCGCGUGUAGGCGGUCCGGUAAGUCGGCUGUGAAAGUCCAGGGCUCAACCCUGGGAUGCCGGUCGAUACUGCCGGACUAGAGUUCGGAAGAGGCGAGUGGAAUUCCCGGUGUAGCGGUGAAUGCGCAGAUAUCGGGAGGAACACCAAUGGCGAAGGCAGCUCGCUGGGACGUUACUGACGCUGAGACGCGAAAGCGUGGGGAGCAACAGG